GCCUGGGUGGCUCAGUGGUUGGGCACCUGCCUUUGGCUCAGGUCGUGAUCCUGGGGUCCUGGGAUCAAGUCCCACAUCGGGCU
rnacentral:tRNA from 1 species